AUUACUAGACAUGAGUAGGUUUAUUUACAGAGAUCACCAGAAGUGUGUCAAUUGAUGAUAUUACUUGUUUGUAUCUACAAUAUUAAGUGGCAAGAUCAGUGAGAAAAAUGAGUGCGACUAUGUUUCUACUGCAUGGCUUUUGUAACAAUAUUCUUCGCAUCAUCUUAUUAUUUAUGCGAAUACUUCUUGCCUUAGUGGACUGAGAAAUAUAAAAAAUAGAUCAUAGACUAAGGCACAAAAAGCAUAUAUUCGGGAACUAAAGUUGCUUCACUAGGCUUUGUUUUCGUAGUGAAAUACCUUUGCCAUCUUACAUAAUUAGAGUUUUGAGUCGUGGAAUAUUUAUUUUAUCUUCUUCUGUCUUAUGUAUUGGAUUAUGUUUUCUAUGAUUUUAAGGGCCAGGGGGAAAUCUUGAAGCAUACCUUCAAGUGGCAACUCGUGGCCUUUUGCCUAAUGAUUUCCUUGUCAAAGUUUCAGACUGCAGUAUAAAAUCGGAAGGGAAAGUUAUGGUUACCUUUACAAGUUGUACAGUAAAAAUAGCACUUCGAAGUAGUUAAGCUUACCGAUCUAAAGAGCAUCUAAUAGCUGUUCUCCUAUAGCUGCCAGAAGUUCCCCUUUGACGGUUUUUGGUCUUGUGUAAUUCCAAGUAUUUCUGUUAUCGCAGUACCGUCUAAUGACCAUGAGUGUCCACCUGUAUAGGGAAGGAAGAAAAUGACCAUGACUAAAAGAAGUUACUGUAAAAUAUAAAGGAUAUCAGAAGUUAUGUACUACUAAAUAACUUUUGUCAAAGGAAACCAUUUUGUUGUUCCUAAAUAAGUAUAUAUUCUUGCUAGGUAAACCUUAAAUAUGUUUGUUUGCCAUCUUUUAGCAAACCACUAUCAUAGGUAGAGCUUUUAGUGUUCCCAAAUUUGACAUCUUCUCUAACAUUUUGGACACGUCUAGUGCAUAGAAGUCGGCAGUGGUAUGAAACAAACCCUUUUUUAUUAUUUUAUUGGAGAUGCAUGACUAAUAUAAUUACAAUAUUUUUUGCAUGUUAAAAAAAAGAACUUCUUAGCUAAGGUACCAUGACUAAUAUAAUUACAAUAUUUUUUGCAUGUUCAAAAAGAAACCUCUUAGCUUAGUUACCAAGAGAGCAAAAAAAAGUUUGUGUUCACUUAUUUGAC
rnacentral:lncRNA from 1 species